GACGAACGCUGGCGGCGUGCCUAAUACAUGCAAGUAGAACGCACAGUUUAUACUGGAGCUUGCUACCCGAUAAACUGGGAGUUGCGAAGGGGAGAGUAACGCGUAGGUAACCUGGCUGGCAGCGGGGGAUGAGUAUUGGAAACGAUUGCUAAUACCGCAUAAUAUUGAUUAUUGCUUGAUAAUUGAUUGAAAGAUGCUAUUGCAUCAGUACUAGAUGGACCUGCGUUGUAUUAGCUAGUAGGUGAGGUAUCGGCUCACCUAGGGGACGAUACAUAACCGACUUGGAAGGGUGAUCGGCCCACCUGGGACUUAGACACGGCCCAAACUCCUACGGGAGGCAGCAGUAGGGAAUCAUUGGAAAUGGACGGAAGUCUGACCGAGCCACGCCGAGUGGGUUAAGAAGGGUUUCGGAUCGGAAAACUAUGUUGUGUGGGAAGAACGGGUGUUAGGGUGGAAAGUUCACGCUUUGACGGUAUCUUACCAGAAAGGGACGGCUAACUACGUG
rnacentral:rRNA from 1 species